rnacentral:rRNA from 1 species
UGCAAGUCGAACGAUGAACCAGGUGCUUGCACUUGGGGAUUAGUGGCGAACGGGUGAGUAACACGUGAGCAACCUGCCCCUCACUCUGGGAUAAGCGCUGGAAACGGCGUCUAAUACUGGAUACGAGUCGCAACCGCAUGGUUAGUGACUGGAAAGAUUUUUUGGUGGGGGAUGGGCUCGCGGCCUAUCAGCUUGUUGGUGAGGUAAUGGCUCACCAAGGCGUCGACGGGUAGCCGGCCUGAGAGGGUGACCGGCCACACUGGGACUGAGACACGGCCCAGACUCCUACGGGAGGCAGCAGUGGGGAAUAUUGCACAAUGGGCGGAAGCCUGAUGCAGCAACGCCGCGUGAGGGAUGACGGCCUUCGGGUUGUAAACCUCUUUUAGCAGGGAAGAAGCGUGAGUGACGGUACCUGCAGAAAAAGCGCCGGCUAACUACGUGCCAGCAGCCCGCGGUAAA